GGGAAAAAUACAUGUAUCUCGGCUACUAUAUAGAUGCUACAAAUAAAUCAGCAUCACAGGGGGAGAAAGGAGAAAUAACGGAGUUGUGCUAUCGAUGUUGAGUGGCUAAGAAUAGCGGACACCUUCGUCACCAUCACCAUCAUCAUCAUCGCGUAUUAUUCUUGAAUUAGGUCCACUGCUAAUCCUGAACGAGUAAAAUAAAGUCCGAGAUCAGCUGAUUGGGGCUUGUAGCCCGAGAUGAGUCUGAGUGAGCAUCGUGAGGGGUGAAAGGAAAAUGCUUUGUCCCUGAACCUGUUUUUGAUGGCAGUUUGGCAGCGUUAGCAAGACAACGAGGUCUUUGGUUGGUUUCUGUUCUGGGUUUAACGAGUGAGUGUUUGUUUUUAAAAAAUAAAAUUCUCCAUACAAUCAUCCAUACAAGAUGGAAUUAGUAAUGUUGAUUAAAAAAACAUAAAGUGGAAAAGACAGCAGACCUCCACAAGCUAUAGGAUUGAUAGUAAGCUAACAAGCUAGUUAGCAUAGUUUCAGCAUGGUUUCUUCCGAACUUUGAUCGACUGCUGGUUGAACAUACAGCAAGAACAAGAACAAUUUAACUGGCUGUUUUUGGAUUUUAUGCCGCCUGAGUGCUGUUGUGUUCACUAAAAUGAAGUACAGCUAUGAAUAGCUAUACAUUUCACAUCAAGCUAGUUAGUCAUUUAGUUAGUUAGCAAGCACUGACCUUUACAUUUUUUUAGAGUAUGACUAGAUGGCUGAUGGGAAGAAUGAAAUCACAAGAAUUAUUUUCUCCACCAUUCCCGAUUUUUAUGCCAGUCUGAGUGCCAUUAGGUAGCAAAGAAAUUAGCUAACGUGGAAGCUAGAGGUUAGCUAGCUAGCAUAAUUGAAUAGCAUAGUUUCUGGAGGUCUGGAUGUUCCAUGACUAUGCAAAUAACAGGCAAAAUUAUUGGAACAAGGUUUUUUAUGCCACUCUUCCUUAUAUAUCUAAAGAAAUAAACGAUUAAGAAUGUCAAAGACGGCACCUCCUCAGCUCCCACACACACACACACACACACACACACACACACACAGUCUUAUUUCUUUAAGCUACACUAGCAUGCCUAGUUAGUCCUUCUGGUUUAAUCCAAUGACGGACUGUACAUAUGGCCAUGGGGGAGGGGAGAUAUGAACAGAAUGGAGGGUGAGCGUGUGGUGUGUGUGUGUGUGUGUGUGUGUGUGUGGUAAAAAUAAUCUUGUGUGGCUCCACACAUCAUCACUGGCUCAUUUCAUGCUGACAGAUCGGUCCUACGUGACUGGAGUCCUGUAUUUGUGUUGUGUGUGUGUGUGUGUGUGUGUGUGUGUGUGUGUGUGUGUGUGUGUUUGUGUAUGCAUGUAGGUGGCAUUAUGUUAUAUCACUGUAUGCAUAAAAGCAAACCGGUGCGAGCAGUGUGGACAUAAAGGGACGGAAAAAACACACAAAAACCCCCAGGUGCUUGGCAGUGUAUAAACUAGACAGCUAAAAUCAACAAACACACACACACAAUCUCCAGGUGAUAAUCUGGUCCCUUUUCCACAUGCAAAAAAAUGACAAAUAUACUCUAUUUCUACAUAUAAACAUAAAAUCUAAAUAAUAAAAUUUCAAGAAAGAAACAACAACAAAAAAAGCAUGCCAUUUAGAAAUAAUGCGAGCAGUGUGCUUUCAAUUUUGCUGGCAGCUCGGCUGUACUUUCAAAUUAUUAUUAUUACUAUUUUCUGUUUAAAAGCGCCAUCAAAAACGAGGUUCUUGUGCAUGCUGAUUCCCCUUUAAUCUUAUCGGCCACGUGCGUCCGCUGUUUUCACCAAUUACAGACUGUUUGUAAAAUAUUCCUGUAUGCAUUUCAGUUGUGUAGACAGCAUCGUUCUACCCUGCAAUAAAGGAAUGUUUAAGAGAUAGACACUACAGACUUAAUAAAAUAUAAA
ensembl:lncRNA